GUGAUCACUUUGGCAGCACAUAUAGUAAAAUUGGAACCAUACUGAGAAGAUAAGCAUGGCCUCUGCACAGGCUAACAUGCAAACUUGUCAAAUGUUCCAUAUUUUU
ensembl:snRNA U6 U6 spliceosomal RNA